rnacentral:rRNA from 1 species
CCUACGGGAGGCAGCAGUCGGGAAUAUUGCGCAAUGGAGGAAACUCUGACGCAGUGACGCCGCGUAUAGGAAGAAGGUUUUCGGAUUGUAAACUAUUGUCGUUCGGGGAGAUAAACGACUGUCCCUAAGGCGGCAGCCCCGGCUAACUAUGUACCAGCAGCCUCGGUAAUACCGAGGGGGCAAGCGUUAUCCGGAAUUAUUGGGUGUAACGGGUGCGUAGCCGGUAGAACAAGUUGGUGGUGAAAUCCCGCGGCUCAACUGAGGAACUGCAACCAAUACUCUUCUCCUUGAGUGUAGGAGAGGAAGGUGGAAUGCCUGGUGUAGCGGUGAAAUGCGUAGAUAUUAGGAGGAACACCAGUGGCGAAGGCGACUUACUGGACGAUAACUGACGUUGAGGCACGAAAGUGUGGGGAGCAAACAGGAUUAGAUACCCCUGUAGUC